GUAGUUUGCUUACGUGAUCUCAACAACAUCAUGUUUCAUGUGGAUACUAGAUCCUCUAAUAUUAACCAUUGUCGUAUGCGUACUUUUAAUGGUUAUGUUAAAAAAUGUGGUCUCUUUGAUCUGGGUUUCAGUGGCCCUGCUUAUACAUGGACGAACAAAUGUUUCUCGUCAACUCCUGUGUUUGAAAGGUUGGAUAGGUGUCUUGCGAAUGCUGAGUAGUGUAAAGUGUUUCCCAACACAAAUGUUUUUAAUCUUCCUAUUAUUCUUGGAGAUCAUGCGCCUAUACUUGUUUCAACUGAAUCUCAAUUUCAUAGAUCGAAACUCAAUUUCAAAUUUUAA
rnacentral:rRNA from 1 species